rnacentral:ncRNA from 1 species
AACAAAGCUGCUCCUGGUGCCGACCUCGGACCCCAGCAAGUGGCCCUCUUUUAUAGGAGAGAUGCUGAGGAAUUAAAAACUGCUUGUUUUUCUCAUACCACUUUUGGUAAACUGCUUGUUUUUCUCAUACCACUUUCCCAAGAACUGGUCCUCCCUGUUCCUGUGAAUUGUGAUUCCGGGAACAAUGCUAGCUUAGGGCUUCCAACUCCUAACACCUGGAUACCACAGCUAGGAGUAAUGGAAUAGGACUGUAGUUCUAUUUUGUUGGCUUUUGGAACUGAGGCCAUGAUUAAGAGUGAUGGCCGGGGGCAUUUGUAUUGCGCUGCUAGCACAAGGACCAGAACGAAAGUAUCUGCCAAGAAUGUUUUCAUUAAUCAAGAAUGAAAGUUGGAGGUUUGUCAUAGUUCCAACCAUAAUGAUGCUGACUGGCAAUGCGGCAGCAUUAUUCCCAUGACCCACUGGGCAGCUUCCAGGAAACCAAAGUCUUUGGGUUCUGGGGGGAGUAUGGUUGCAAAGCUGAAACUUUUAAAGGAAUUGACAGAUGGGCAUCACCAGGAGUGAAGCCUGCGGCUUAAUUGUGUUAACACAGGAAACCUCACCCGGCCUGGACACGGAUAGGAUUGACAUACUGAUAGCUCUUUCUUGAUGUCCUGGGUGGUGGUGCAUGACCAUUCUUGGUGGAGUGAUAUGUCUGGUUAAUUCCGAUAACAAAUGAGACUGGCAUGCUAACUAGUUACACGACCCUGAACGGUCGGCAUCCCCCAACUUCUUAGAGGGACAAGUGGCGUUCAGCCACCCGAGAUUGAGCAAUAACAGGUCUGUGAUGCCCUUAGAUGUCCGGGGCUGCACGCGCGCUACACUGACUGGCUCAGCGUGUGCCUACCCUACGCCGGCAGGCGCGGGUAACCCGUUGAACCCCAUUCGUGAUGGGGAUCAGGGAUUGCAAUUAUUCCCCAUGAACGAGGAAUUCCCAGUAAGUGAGGGUCAUACGCUGACAUUAAGUCCCUGCCCUUCGCUACUACUGAUUUGGAUGGUUUAGUGAGGCCCUCGGAUUGCCCCACCAGGGUCAGCCCAUGGCUAUGGCAGAGCGCUGAGAAGAUGGUCGAACUUGACUAUCUAGAGGAAGUAAAAGUCAUAACAAGGUUUCCGUAGGUGAACCUGCAGAAGGAUCAUUA